rnacentral:rRNA from 1 species
AGCGGCGGACGGGUGAGUAACGCGUGGGUAACCUGCCUCAUACAGGGGGAUAACAGUUGGAAACGGCUGCUAAUACCGCAUAAGCGCACAGUACCGCAUGGUACGGUGUGAAAAACUCCGGUGGUAUGAGAUGGACCCGCGUCUGAUUAGGUAGUUGGCGGGGUAACGGCCCACCAAGUCGACGAUCAGUAGCCGGACUGAGAGGUUGAACGGCCACAUUGGGACUGAGACACGGCCCAG